UUUUCGGCACUGGUGGCGAUACCGUAACCAAUGAGGUUCUACCGAGGUGCGAUUAUUGUCAGUUGAAAAACAUCCUUUUUAAUGGUGUAUCAUGUUUUCGACAAGGAAUUUGGAAAAAAAAUUUCUGAUAAUAGGUCAUAUUA